UUUUUCCUACGGGGGGCAGCAGUGGGGAAUAUUGGGCAAUGGGCGCAAGCCUGACCCAGCAACGCCGCGUGAAGGAAGAAGGCUUUCGGGUUGUAAACUUCUUUUCUGAGGGACGAAGGAAGUGACGGUACCUCAGGAAUAAGCCACGGCUAACUACGUGCCAGCAGCCGCGGUAAUACGUAGGUGGCAAGCGUUAUCCGGAUUUAUUGGGUGUAAAGGGCGUGUAGGCGGGAAUGCAAGUCAGAUGUGAAAACUAUGGGCUCAACCCAUAGCCUGCAUUUGAAACUGUAUUUCUUGAGUGCUGG
rnacentral:rRNA from 1 species